CCUCCUCCUCCUCCUCCUCCUCCUCCGCGAGCUAUGCUAAGGAGCCAGCAGGAGGGAUGAAGUUGACAGCAGCGAUCAAUAAUUCCUCUUCCCUCUGCUUCUUGCUUUACUUCAGCGCCCUGCCGUAGCUGGAAGUUAUGGCAGGAUUUGGGAUAACGAUGUUCUACUGAAUAGGUAAAAUGCUUACUGUAUCAGUAUUUGGCAGGGCCCUGGCAGCGGCCUUCUCUGUUGUGGCGCCUGUGCUGUGGAAUCUUCUCCCCGCUGAGGAUGCCAGGAUUCUUAGAGCCCAUCUGUACAUAAAACAAGGAGAAGAGGACUGUACCAUCUGCAUAAAGUAGGAUUUGAAGCCUGUUCCUGGAGAUUAAACAAAGUACCAAUGGCUGUUUAAAGAUGUCUGCAAAUCUUGUCUUAAAGGAUAUACCCAACUGUCCCUGUUGAUGAGGACCAGUCAACAUCCUUGAACCUCUACAUGGGAAGAGCUGAUCAGACACUGAAUUCCUUUGCAAACAACCUCACCCAAUUCUCUGUGCCACAUUGGAGAAAUAACACAGAGCAUGAUAAAGCCUUUCACGUUCCUGCAAAUUUAUCUGCUUCAAGAGAUGCUGUGCUUGAACAGAAACAAACAAUUCAGUUUUAUAAAUGCUAUAAACCAACAAAAAAGGACAUCCAUGUACCAGCCUUCCUGGGUCAUCCUCAUCUUAAAAAAGCUCACCUCGGCAUUAGAACCUAACAAUGGAGAAAUCUCUGGCUUGACAUUCCACUAAACACAUCUGAAAUCAGGUGCUGUGCAGAACACCUCUGACCUGGCAAUUCCACCCAAACUAGCACUUUAAAUGUGUUGGAACUACAGCUGUUAGAAUUCCCACGCAGCAUGUGGGUGGAAAAACUGGCAGUUGUAUUCCCUAGAAUACAAUUACCUGGGAGCAUGGCAAUUAAACACAGUGAAUCUUAAAUCAGAGAAUAGAUGUUUUAGGAUCGCAGUAAAUAAAAAACUGUUAGAGCAGCAGCUUCCAGAUUGCAAUGAUUAGGCCUAGCUUCAGUAGGACUGUUCCAGCUCUUCUGGUAAUGUCACCAGGAGGUGGCCAAGAAAACUUACGAUAUAAACAUUGAUUUGCAUAUACUAAUACACAUUAUAUACUUCAUAAAAUACCACGUUGGUUUGCACCUUCCAAAUAUCUGGCCAUGGCAUUGAAAGCUAUCUUCAGAGUCUAAAUGACUC